UGGCAUCGUCCUCAGAGCAUUGUAAACAUAACUGGAAAUUUGAGAGAAAUGAAAAGGAGAACAGAAGGUGGCAUUUGAACUAAGUACAUAGCAGUAAAUGUUUACAGAAAUGAGCAAUUAUUAUAUUGAUUAGAGCCACCAGAAUUCUGAGUAUUUGGAGAUUUCCCAUAGCCUUCAUCUGCUUAAACAUUGUUCUGGAGUUGGCUGUGUCCCUAGAAGCCAGUUUCAUGCACUUGUUGUUUAGAAAUGCCUCGUUCUGCUGCUUUACUGCUGUGAUACCUACAGCUGCUGGCACAUCAGCUUCAGGAGCAAGUCACCUUGCUGAUCCUCUCGUGCAGCAAGGCACCCUCCAGGUGAGGAGUUGAAAAAUAAUUAUUUUCAUUAUGUUUUUUAAGUGAAAAAAGCUUUAACUUUCUAGGCAAUAGGUGUGGCCCUUUCUGUGUGUAGAUGCAACGUGACAUCUCCUGAGACUUGAUGUGGAGAGUGGCAUCAGGAAAAGAAGGAAAACUGGAAUUGAUUGGGUCCUUAGUGUCUCUGCUCUCAAGACUAAAGAAGAAACUAGACUAAAGAAGAAACUAGACUUUAUCUUGGAAACAUGGGUCAGAGUCUGAUGUGCUUUGCUUACCUGGAACAGAUUUUCUCCCUGCUGCUGCAGUAGAACUGUACCCCAGGGCUUGGUGCUCUCCUCCUCUUUGGCCUCUUUAAGGGGCUUGGCUGUUAUCAUAGCAGCAUUCUGAACAACUAAAAUACAAUCAAAUGUCAAAUGGCUGGAUUUAGCAUGAAAUUAGUCAACUGGCAUACAAAUUAGUUUGGCUUUUUUUUUAAUUGUGUGGUGUCUCAUCGAUGGUGUAGUAACCCAUAUGGUGCAUUUGAGGGUAAAUAUCACUAACAGGUGCUUUUUUCUUGGCUUGGAGCUCUGAGUCACUGCAGUCUCUGUUUGAGAAUGAAUUGCUGUGGGUGAUACUCUGCAGAAGUUCGUAGUUGAACUACCAUGCUAAAUACAUACUAAUGACAAUGUAGGCUGCAGUAUGUGGGAAUGUAUUUAUCUGUUGGGCAGAGAAAGAAGGAAGGCUAUGGGUUUUGAAAAGCAGACUGUUCUGCAGUCACUGGGUCAGCUGGGGGUUUAUUGUAUCAGUCUUAAGUGCUUAACCUAAGCCGACUUACCUUGUGUGAUGUACAGUAUUUGUCUUUGCUCAGUUUGUGUCAGGAAGAGAGCCAGGAUCAGUGCAGGCAGGUCUCUUGUGGUCUCUGGUUCCUUGGGGACAAGACAAAUUGCACUUGGAUGCAACAAACAAGCCAUUUAAUUAGCAAGGAGCAAAGACACACCUGAAAAGAUGCAGUGUGUAGGGAGAUACUUGGUUUUAUGCUUCUUUAUGUUCUGUCCUACUUGAUCAAGGCCAGUUGGAUGGGGCUUUGAGCAAUCUGGUCUACUAGGAGGUGCCUGUGGCAGGGGGGGUGGAACUGAGAAAUCUUUAAGGUUCCUUCCAACCUAAGCCUUUUUGUGUUUCUAUGAUUGCUUCAGCUUUCUUCUACUGAAAAUGUUGGUCUUGUUGUAAUAAACUUGUAAUAAAUUCUUGCUCUUCUGAGUUUAAAGUUUUUCUGUCAUCUUUAGUGUGUUGUCUGUAAGGAGAGGAUUUAAGAGGCUUUGGAUCAUACUUCUCUCUUAUCAAGGGUCCUCUAAAAACUUUUCUGUUAUUCUACAGCAAGCAGCUGCAGAUACAGCUUUGUGUUCUUUUUAUUGCACAGGUUACUAGUGCCAACAUGUUUUCAUUUCUAGAGCAUGGGAGAGACUGAAAUACAUCCCCUUAGGUAAUGCAGCAGGCUUCAUUUGCAAUUUAGUUUAAGAAUAUUUCAUUUACUUGGAAGUGAUUGUAAUCUUAAUGAUAAGAGACUGUUUUGCUUGCUUCAAAACUAGCCUUAGGUUACAAAAUCAAGGACAGAUUUCUUUGAUAUCAGUUUAUUCAGGUGUUUAUCUCAGACUUUCUAUUUUAGAUCUCAUUAAUUACUAUCCAGAUUGCAUGGUACUCUCCAUAGCCACACGGAGAGGUGCACUGAGAGGUACCAAGAGAGUAGGUUUAGAGCAGAUAUUAGGAAAAAAGUUUUCCUGUGAGUCACUGGAAUAAGUUGUCCAGGGAAGUUGUGGACACCCCACCCCUGGAGGUAUUCAAGGCUAGGUUGGAUGUAGUUCCAGGCAACCUGGUCUAGUGGAAAGUGCCCCUGCCUGAGGCAGGGGGGCUGGAACUAGGCGGUCUUCAAGGUCCUCUUUCAACCCAAACCAUUCUAUAAGUCUGUGAUUGCCCUGCAAAGUGCUGGGGUGUAAGUGGGGGCUUUGAGUGAAAUGGAUCUCUGUCAGGGCUUCUUUAACACACUGUGACUGCUGAACUACAGAUGGGACCAGGGGUAGUGUGACAGGACCAGGAAUGGCAGGAUGUGUAAAAGCUGAGUGAGAGCUGCAUCUCAAGCAAUCAGGAAGGAGAUUGGUAGGUUUAAGAGCUGGUUCAAUAUUCCCCAGGCACUGAGUGCUAGUGAAGAUGAGGGCAUUAGGACUGCUAUUUUAUACAGUAAUCUGUUCUGAGGCACUCAGUGGCUUUAUUUUUACUUGCCUUCAGUCAGGCAGAGUCUAAUUGUGAAACUGCUUGUCGCACAGGAAUUCAAGGAGUACUGCACCUCUCCUCAGAAGGCAUCAUGUAACAUAGGAUUUUUUAUCUGAGGGCUUCCAUAGCUUAAUACCAGUUCCUGUGCCUUGUGAAUGACCUUGUGAAAUGCUGGCUGCAGACCAUGGCAGUAUGCAGCACUAGCCUGAAGUCACUGUCCUAGAUGAAUGCUUCUGCUGUGACAAAGUAGAUGACAUCCAAGAGGACAGGAAGAGCUAGUGGGUCUUUUUGCCCAGGGAACUCUUGGAGCAACCAUUCGAAAAAUGAAAUAAAGUUGGUGAACUAAGCCUUAUCUUCCUCAGUGUCUUUCUUGAACUCACAGGUUCAAACACCAGCAGAGAUGGCCUUAAAUGUUAGUGAAUAUUAUUAGUUUUUAGACUCAUUACUAGAUAACAAGAGGUUGUUUUCAUCCAUUAAUAGGAAUCCGUGAUGCAGAGGCUCAUGUAGAUUAAUGCAGUUGGAACUUGAAUGCUAAAUUCUGUCAAACUCCUUCAUUACAGCAGAACAUUGAGCUGUUAACAAAUUCACAUCUCUACAAGCAGUUCCUCUUCUUUGCUAUGUGCCCUUCUUAUUUUUGGACAUGCCACUUUUCCACAAGCAAUGCUCUCCUAUCUCAGAAAUGUCAGCUAUAAAAUAGAAUAAACUUGUUGAUCUUACUCCCCACUAAAUUGUUUUGCCUUGGCUAGCACAGGUAAUUUGGGGGCUCAAAAGUACUGCUACUUUACUAUUCUCUCAGUGGGCUGAGUGAGUGAGCUGUGGUCUGCUGAUAUCUACUGAAAACUCAGUAACUUCUGUACUGCAGAAGUUAUAUUUACUAGUGAUUGUCCUGUUCUGCCUUAUCUCACAGGACAUAAGGAGUGAGUGGGAAAGGGAUUUCUCUCAGUGCUGGUGACUAGCAGUUCUAUUACAGGUAUCUAUUCCUGGCAAAACGGUUUCCUCUCAAAGAGUUACUUGGGAUCUAAAAGAAAAAUACAAGUUGGAUAAAGGAUGGUGCAGGGCAAUGAGUAGUGUAUCACAUGUCAAUCAGCUUGAUAGAUGCUGUGAAAUCUAGGAAAGAGGUGAAGGAGGAAGUUGCCCUGCUUUUCUUUUAAUUAAAUUUCAAAAAAAGAAGAAAUAAAAUCCUACCCACAAUGUUUUAUUUGCCAUUCCUCAGAUAUAGGUGGGAGUACAAAACACAUCGGUAUAAAAGUACUGCUCAAUACUCAUUUCUUCAAAGCUGAUUGAGGCCCUUGCACCUCAUUUACACUUCAGUGUUAUGUAUUUUUUAGUGAGUAGAACACUAAAUUUUAAACACUAUUUUAUAUAUAUAUAUAUAUAUAUAUAUGUAUAUAAAAACACUAUUUAUAUAUAUAUUUAUCUGUACAUACGUAAAUAUACGUGUAGUGUAAUGCUUGCUUGUUUAUGUCAUCAAAGUUCUUUUUAUCUGUUUGGACUUUGUGAUUCAUAAGUGGCUUCUGAUGAAGUUCAUGCUAAAGACUCCAAAAAAUAACAGAUGUGGUUGUUGUCUUGUAGGAUUAGAUUGCUUGCUCUUCAGAGAUGCCAUCACUGCAAUGUGUUUGUGGUACACAGCUGUAUAGUCGCGGUAGUUCUGUGUACCAAAAUUUAUUCCAGGAUGGUAGAUAUGAAUUGGUCUUGUUUAAGUUUGUUCUGUUUCCCCUAGGAUAUUUAAGAGGGCAGAAAUCUACUAUGGAGAGGUAGCACUUACUGUGCAGUGGACUUUUGUAUUGUCAGUAUAUGUCCAAAUUGAGGGUGACUGUGAACAUAAAAAUACAACUUAACAGAAUUCUCUUUUCCUGAAACUGCUGUUGACAAACACCAUCAGCAGCAUGGUUUCUCACUUGGGUUGCGCAAAGCAUGCAAUGGAGGGAUUAAGCAAUCUGUUAGUUUUACAAACAUGCAUUUUUAAACUUUAAAAGUUUUCUCAAACUUAGCGUCAAAUUGUAUUUAUCUCUGUGUUUCUGGAGUUCUCAUAAAUGAUCUGUACUAAUUUUCCACAAGUUUUAAAAGUCACUGUAGGAGCUACUGAGCAUGUAAGUAGCACUCCAUCACUUUUGAAGUGCCUCUGAAAUAUACUGAGAGGAGUCAUAGCAGGAUAGAGGCUGUUUUGCCCAGGCACUGUGACAGCAAAUGGCCCUUUCAAGCCAGAUGGCUUGAAUGUCAUUGCUCAUAUCUGACGUAGGAGCUCUCACAGUCCAACUUCAGCCUCAAUUUGAGUCAGCAGGGUCAUCUUGUGACAAAAUUGUUUGAUGGAAGAUUUAGCAAAAUAUGAUUUAGAAGCAACGCUGCAUGUGGAGCUUGAAACAGACUUUUUUUGUGAAAAAAGUUGUAGUGAUUGAAAAGGCUUUAUUUUUCUUUUUUAAAGUGACUGCAGAAGUGCCGUUGAUCUUUAUCCUUGUUUGAGAAGCUGGGUGUUUUUCCAUUUGUGUGUGCUUUAGGUCUGCAGGACUGCCUGUAGUAGGUAUAAUUUCUGCUUGCUCGAAUGGAGGCUACCGUGGCAGGGGUGGGAGGUGUGAAGUCUUAUGGGGUGGAACCCUUUGAGAGUCAGACUGCUGUGUUGAGGGAAUCAUUGCUUAUUUUGUUUAUUCUGAAGUUCUCAAAAGAAAAUUCUGAGGAAAAUCCACUUUUCUAAAAUCAAUUUUUUUUUCAGACAUUAUUUAAUAGAGAGUUUUAGGGAGUUGCCAGUCUUGAACUAGUUACUGAAGAAAAGCAGAUUACGCAACUUUCACAUUGGCAGUUUUAUUGCCAGCUACAGCUCCAGCCCUCCACCAGAUGACUGAUCUUGCAGCCUUAUUAAGACCUCUCAAGGUCUUUCCUUUUACUUUGUAUAAUUUAUAGGCGUGUUUUCAAAGGGAAACAGUUAUGUUUUCUAUACCUUCAACUGCAUUCCUGUCUUCUGCAAUAAGGCACUCAAUUUGUGAAAUAACAUGACAAUGAAUAACCCCCUUUUUUAUAUUUACAUGUCAGGAGGUGAUUUUAUAUCACAUCACUGUUUCAGGAACACCCAUUGCAGUUACUCAUACAUAUUUCCCUAAGGAGUGAAAAAAGCAUUCAAAAAAUAA